UGGGGAAUAUUGCACAAUGGGCGCAAGCCUGAUGCAGCCAUGCCGCGUGUAUUAAGAAGGCCUUCGGGUUGUAAAGUACUUUCAGCGGGGAGGAAGGGAGUAAAGUUAAUACCUUUGCUCAUUGACGUUACCCGCAGAAGAAGCACCGGCUAACUCCGUGCCAGCAGCCGCGGUAAUACGGAGGGUGCAAGCGUUAAUCGGAAUUACUGGGCGUAAAGCGCACGCAGGCGGUUUGUUAAGUCAGAUGUGAAAUCCCCGGGCUCAACCUGGGAACUGCAUCUGAUACUGGCAAGCUUGAGUCUGGUAGAGGGGGGUAGAAUUCCAGGUGUAGCGGUGAAAUGCGUAGAGAUCUGGAGGAAUACCGGUGGCGAAGGCGGCCCCCUGGACGAAGACUGACGCUCAGGUGCGAAAGCGUGGGGAGCAAACAGG
rnacentral:rRNA from 1 species